GGAGAGAUGUCCGAGAGGUCGAAGGAGCACGAUUGGAAAUCGUGUAGACGUUAACCGCGUCUCGAGGGUUCGAAUCCCUCUCUCUCCGCCA
rnacentral:tRNA from 1 species